CUCAGUGCCACCUGGGCUUUGUGGGGUGGGGCUGAUGCUGAGCAGCAGCACCUGUGGGGCUGGGCUGCUUUCUGAGGCACAGCUGUUACCCUUUGAGUCAGUGCAAUCAGUGCCCGGUGUGCAGGAGGUGCAAUCAGUGCUGCAAUAGAAGGCCCCGAGCUUUGGGUUUUCCUGGCCUGCUGACUGCUCCUGAGGCAGCAAGAAGGUUGCUACCACUGUGCAGGAGACGUGCACUGCUUCCCUGCAGGGUACACCUGUGAACAUGGGAGUUCAACCCAGUAAGGAGCCCUUCAUUGUGGUUUACAAGAAAAAAGCCAAGCAGGUGCAGAAGGAAGUUCCAGUGACUGCUGCAACACAUCCUCCAAAGUCUGAGGACUUCCAGGAUACUGCCAAAGAGCUGGCUAAGGGAACCUGUCAGCAUUGUCAGGCUUCUCCAGAUGCAAGAAAGGUUGUAGAAGUGAUCAAGAGCAAGCCCUCUGUGUUGGGGGCAGGGGGAGGAAAAUGCUUAUGAAUGUUUCCUUCUGUGCAUUGCAUCAUGGACUAGUUAAUGGACAACAGCAGGUAUUCAUGUCUUUAAUUGGAAAUGGCCUUACUGGGAAAUGGACAUCUUUUGUGUGUGCUGGAUGACCUCCCUUGGCUUGAGAUAGCUACUCCUAGCAGAUGCAUAUCUUAACCAGACUGACUCUGAUCCAUCUAUAGACAUGGAACAUAGCAACCUUCUAGGAAAUUGUUACCCUGCUGGGAGCUGCCCAUUACCAUCUGGAGACAUGGCUGAGUUUAAAAUGAGUACUUUAUGUGCAAUAUUACAUAGCAUCAGUGAGGUUACUUAACACACUGAGCCCUGUACUACCAAGACUUGCUCAAGACACAGAUAAUUCUAUAGGUCUUGCAACUUUAACACAAAUGAAGUUAUUUGAAAGAUGCAAGUAGUCUCAGUAAAAUGAAGACAAGUGCAGGAACUGAAGAAACCUGAGCUCUGUAAUGGGUGUUCUGUAACCUGAGUGUUUAUAACCUGGAUGUCAUCCAAUUAUCACUCAAGUAAUUCUUCAGUAAUGCUAUAACUGGACUUGAGGGAUCUCCUUGGCUAAUGCUGGGCUGGGGCAAAAAGACUUCACCAGCUUAAAAGCAGAGGUCGUGCAGCUCUCCUGCAGUUACUGUGCUCUGAGGCUGCAGUGACAGAACAAAGUCUUUGGCCAUAACUGUAAUAAGGUGGAAAUGCCUUGCUCUCUAAUUGAGGUUCAGACUGUUUUGAAAUUCGCACUUGAAAAGGAAACUGAGAUGUUUGCAACAUGACUCUUCAAAGCAUUUCUAAACAUGUGCUCUCUCCCCUCUGAAGUUUCACUUGGGUUGAAAGCAGCUUCAUUAUUUUUUCAUCUUCCUUCACUUACGAUGCUGUUGUCUCAAGCUGUUUGAUCUAACUUUCUUUUUGCUAACCCCAUUUCUACUCAGUUCAGUACAGAUUUAGGGUGGGGGAUGUGCUUUAAGGUCCCUGGAGCAAAACCAUCUUUUUCCCAUCGUGUCAAUGGUCUAAAGACAUGGUCACCUCUUACUACUGCUUUUUUCCUUCAGUCAGUUUAGGCUUCCAAGCACCUUGUGCUCAGUGUGAGUUAUAGCCACACUCAGCUGUCCUGCAUGCCUGUACAAAAUGCUUCUCUUCUGGAGUGUAUUGCUACAAUGAGGAAUAUGGAUAGCAUAACAAAAACAGGGCAGUUCUCUAGACAAUGUAGUUUAUUACUUGCUAGCUCAGUUUUGCUUACCUGUGUUGAUAUGAUCUAUGUUUAAUAUAAAAUGCAGAAUCCUGUUCUCUAUUAGCAUGAAUAGAUAGCUCAAGUGCUAAGCUCAUGAUGGGCAGGCAGGUCAAGCCCAGGCCAAGGUUAGCAGUGGGACUUGAUGUGCAGCUACAGAGAAAGAAAUAGCUCACUUUAUUUGGAAGGCUCUGGAAUGCUACAGUAUUAAAUUCAGUCACAGGUACACGCUGAAUGAAGAGGCUGAGAAAUAGUUUGGGCGCUGGGAGCUGAUAAAUACACUGCAUCCUCUUCACAAUGCCCACGGGCAACCUGGCAGAUUGCCGUGGUGGGGGGGUUGGCUGCAGUUCACAGGUAGGUGACUGGGACCUGCUUGGGGAUAGCAAAUCCAUCUGUAGCUGUAAGGUGCUGCUGUAGCAGAUCUGCUUUCAGGUGGCAGUGGGCAAAGCAGAGGCCAAGUACUUCUCAGCCAGUAACCUGGGCUGGGUGCCUCUUGCUCCCUGUGGAACAACUUGAUUUUUGUAGCUAUAUGAGCAGUGUGGGCCUGUGAGUGCUCUGACACACACAUGCAUUCCUUUAAAGUUGGUCUGUCAAGUCAAAUAAGUAAGCUUUUGCAAGAGAAGUGUAACAGCUUUCUGGAUAAUAUGUCUGCACACUUUUUUUUUCUAAUGCUGUAAAUGCAAAAAUAUCCGCAGAGGCUAACACAAAAUCAGGCUUCUUGUCUAUUCCUUUUCCUGUUCUGAUGUGCUUUGUCAAGAGUCAUAAACCAACGUUAUUCAAAUAAAAUGUUACAUGCACCAAUCUAAGAAUAUUCUUAAGCGGUGUUAAAUAGCAUUUUGUGGGAUACAAAAGGGAAUGGGGUGAGGAGGAACUGACUUAAUGGAACUAAUACUCAUGGAUGUAUGAAGAAGUACUGUGCGAAGCUUUGGGCAUGGGGUUUGUAGCUUGUCUUGAUGUAUGCUGAAGUACUGGAACAGAAAUACUUAACAGCUUUGCCUUGUGCUUAUCUUCUACCGGAGGACGUGGUGGAGUUGUUCUGUUUGAUA